GCUCAGCCAUUAACACAGAUAUUAAAACACAAUACUAUCCGCCAGAAAACUACUAGCGAAAAGCUUAAAACUCCAAGGACUUGGCGGUGCUUCAUAUCAACCUAGAGGAGUCUGUCCUUUAAUCGAUACCCCACGCUUCACCUAACCCCCCCUAGACAACAUCAGCCUAUAUACCGCCGUCGAUUAAGGCCCACCUUAUGAAAGAAAGAGAGUGGGCACAAUAGUUAACAACUAACACGUCAGGUCAAGGUGUAGCACAUGGGGUGGAAGAGAUGGACUACAUUUUACAAAACAAAAAACGAACAGCACAGUGAAACAUGCGCUUGAAGGCGGAUUUAGCAGUAAGGUAGACAAGAUAGACUACCUUAAACAUGCUCUGAAGCGCGC
rnacentral:rRNA from 1 species